CUCUUGUGGGACUCUCUCUCUCGAUCUCACUCUUGUUGCAUCUUGUGUCGCUGCUCGCUCGCCUGUGUGUCUGUGUGAAGCUCUUCAUUGCUAGCACUGGGCACGUCACGCACCCACGCACGCACACCGGUCGUUUGACAAACAUUUCUCGACUUUCUUUUAGCGCUUCUGUUUCGUGAGUUCCUCGGAAGUGCGGAACAGUCGCUGAGACGCAGCGCAGGCUUCAGUAGAAACACAGAGGAGGAGAGGAAGCGGAGGGGAGGGCGGGGUGAUGGCGGCGACGGCGGAGGGAGCUGGUGGCCCCUGUGUGUGGUUUUUGUUGCCGCGUAGGGUGCGCAACAGUCUUUGGCUGUGUGGUCUUUUUUCGUCACCAUCCCCCUGCUUUUUUUCUUCGUCUCUCUGUUCCCUUCCUCUUUGAUCCUCCUAUCUCGACAUGGGCGCUGCGGCGUUUCGCUUCAGCGGGACCGGGGGGCGAGGCCGUCGUCAUCCAUCCCGCCGCUCAACCCGAGCCUCACCUUCUACCUCUCCAACACGGAGAGCCGCACCAAGGCCCAGAGAGGCGCCUGGCACCGAUGGCAGCCGUAGCACUCAGCCUCUGGCGUUUCUCGCAAACCACACGAGUCGCAGCAUUCUUGACUAUCCCUCCUCAGCUUCCUCGUUUCUGUCUCCGUCGCUGACGUCCUCGAGCUCGCAGGAGGCUGUGGCGGCAUCGGAAGCCUCCGGCGCGACAAGAGCUCGUUCGCCGGAUGGCCGUUCAGGUUCCCCCGCGAUACAGUCUUCUGUUGCUAGUGACAGCAGUAAUGACCAGAGGUGCAAAGGGCCAUUCAUCGCGAGGCGCCGAGCAUCGGCUACCGCGCGCGCUGUGCAAGAUGACAUCGAAAAACAAGAACGGACGCAACAUCGGAAUUGGAAUGGGUGACGGCGCUGUGCCACUGGAGGAGCACACGGCGGUCUUGUUGACGGCCCUCAUGAGGCCGUACUGUUGUCUGAGGCAGCGUGUAUGCGGUGCAUCCAUGACGCCAACCACCUCGUCGUUCUCGUGGACGCUCGAUCAGCAGCUUGGCACGGGCGGCAACCCAGACGGUGUUGUCCACGGCUACCACCAGGUUACUCACAGGAGCGCUGACGCCUUGGCCUUGGCGCCCUUGCUCGAGCCGUUCGUUUUCGAACCGGCCCAGCCGCGGAGGCCGAAGGCAAGCGCCGGGACUGCGACGACUUCCUCCGCAACUACGUGGAUGCCUUCCAUGACGGCGUGCUUUGACGAGGGCCUCCUCUACCGUGUGGAAUGGAGGAGAGCCGAGGGUGCCGACGCGGCUGCAACCGAGGUGGUUGGUGGCAAGAACACUCACGUUCUCUGGUGCUUCUUCAACGCCACUCAUGUCUACACGAUGGAAAUCCACGUCUCUUUCCCAGUAUCGGCGAGCUGGACAACAGCAGAACCUUUGCCACUGAAGGCGCUGGGGAUGACGCAGCUGGAGUGGGCGGACGCGCAGGAGGAUCCGGGCUCUCCGCUGUGGCAUCGGCGACGGCUCCUCGUCGCUCGGGCAGCGUGCCCGCCCCUGACCUGCGUGGCAUUUGUCGAGGGUACCGUGGGGCCCUUUCGCACCGCCGUUCGCGCUGUCCCGUUGUCCACGGACGCCCCUUUAUCGGUGCCGUCGCCCACCUCGACGUGGCGCGCACGCCUCGAAGCCGAGCUGCACCGCCUUCCUCGCCCUCUUGCUGCCAUGGCAGCGCCUGUCGCUCUCAGCGGAAACUCUGUCACCGAGGCCGUCCUGAACGCCUGCGUGGCUGCCAACAUUCCCUUCGUGGACGCAGAGUUCCUCGGGGGAGAGAUGGCGCUGUGCGGGACUGGAAAGCGCUGUACCGGCUCCGUCGGCCACGACGGUGCCCCGUUCACGUCGCCGUUCUCAGUGAGUCAUCACUUUAGCGAAGGACUCGAUAAGAAACCUGUUGCCUGGGCUCGCGCCUCCGACCUUGUGCGGCGUCUUUUUGGCGAGCCAAACACCCAUUCUGCCCUCCAGCCCCACGUCUUCUUUCUCCCCCUCCGCCUGGUCAUCAUUGAACCCGGCGAGCUUGGCGACAGCUGGGUGAUUGGCGCCGUGGCGGCGGUAGCGGAGCACACGCAUCACCUCCUCCGCAUGUUCCGCCACCCCCGCAGCCAGCAACAGGGGGCCGCCGAACAGCUCCUCGGCGCGUAUCGCGUGACGCUGAAUGUGCGAGGGUGGUGGCGCAGCGUCGUGGUCGACGACUACUUCCCGAUGAUAGAGGGGGGCAGUUACAUCAAUUGCGCGCACAGUCGCCGCGAUGUGCGGGAGCUGUGGGUGCCGCUGCUGGAAAAGGUGUACGCUAAGAUGCGUGGCGGCUACUGCAACAUCAUCACUGGCGAUCCGCUCAUGGCUCUGCGUGACUUCACCGGUUGGCCGUGCGCCCGCUACGACAUCUCACACUUCGACAUUUCUGUGGUGUCGUCCAGCUUUGCGUCGCGACUCAUGCGGUACGACCGGUACGGGUUUCAGGUCAUCCUGCACACGGCUCCCCGCUUCGACCCUGAUGCUGUGAUGCUCCAGACCGACGUAGGUAUCUCACGAGCAGAGAUGUCUCUGCCUUCUGCGGCGGAGGCUUCCGGACGCGGCGCGUGCGCUGAUGCAGGCGCGGCUCACGGGCUCCUCGCCGGCAUGGUGUACCCCGUCAUGCGCAUCUUGCGGUUCAACGUCGAUUCGUUUUGUACCGAGCUGACGCUGCUCCAAGUGCGGAAUCCGUGGGGAGACGUAGCGGCGUGGAAAGGAAAGUGGCGAUGUGGCAGUCGCCUCUGGGAGCAGUGGCCGCAUGUUGCCGCGGCAUGUGACAUGCAGGAGUGCCUGCAUCGCGACGGCAGUGGCGGCAUGACGUCGCCAAGGCGCGAUCUCCGAGACAGAUGUGCGGCACCGGUGGCGCCGCAGACAGCCGCCACGGCUGCUGGCGCCACCACUACCGCGUGCGCCUGUCGCCACAACCAGUACAUCUGGGUAGAGUGGUCAGAGGUGUACCAGCACUUCUCCGGCUGCGGCGUCAUGUUCCGACUCCCCCUUCACCACGACUAUCGCGUAAAAGGGGUGUUCGAAACUACCUGCCCAUCUGUAUGCGUGCGGGUGUCGGUCGCGGCGCGCACCUUCAUGGGCGCCAUGCUCUCUAUGAGCGAUACAGUCGGGGAUAGGUCCUUGGCGGCGACGGACACGGAGGACGCGAGCACAUACCCGCCCAUCAUGCUCACGCUGGCGCGAGAGGAAGCUGGCGUGCUGCACGUCGUGCGCAACUCGCAGACUGACCCUGACAAUCCGACAACGCGCUUUACCUUUAUGCAAACUCUCGACGCGAGUCUCUUCUACCCACUGACGCCGGAGGACUCGCCAUACUGGCUGAUCCCUCGGGUCCUCGCACCCCAGGUGUCCAACGCUGCUGCCGCUGCUGAUGGCGGCGCGAAUGCCCCGGCACCGCAUCCUCCACGGCUACCGUAUGUGCUUGGCCUCUUCCAAGAGAAGCCAGCAGGAGAAAACGGGUGGCGAGCCGAAUUCUACCAUCUGCCGCCGACAUCCGCAGUCUUUCAGAACCACACGUCGUUUUCUCUGGGCAGCGACGUGCAGGCAGUGGCGACCAUGUUCCAGGCCAAGGCACCUCACGCGGCCUUCCCGAAAACUUAUGUGCACACGGAUGUAUCAGAGCGGGAAGCAACACCGGUGGACGUGUUUGUUCAUACUGCUCAGACGUGACGGUGACGCGCAUGCGCUCAUGUCGCAACACAAGCGCCUUUUUUUCUGCCCAUCUCUCAUCACGACUUGUGGGUGUGCCGCCGUUGGCAGUGCAGCGCCUCUCCUUUUCGUCGUUGCUGUUCCUCAGGCUCUCAUAGUACUGGACUUGGCCGAGUGCUAUCUGUUUUCCUCCACCUCGCACACACUCUCUCUGCUCGCCAUGUCUCUUUUCAUCUCCUUUUGCGCUCCGUGAUGUGCACACCACCGUUUUUUUUUUUUUUGCAUCCUCCCCGCCGGCCUCCUCAUCGCGCACGUCUUCUUUUUGUCUUGCCUCCUCCACCCCUCCCACCGCCACCACCACCACCACCACCACCACCACCACCACCACCAAACGCAACAGCAAUGGCAGUGGCACGUGCUGCAGUUGGGCCGUGGCUGUGGUGGUGGACGAGGGAAUGCGGAGCCAGUGGAGGCUGGCCUCUUUUCGUGCGUGCGUGGCUUCUGUGCUUGCGUUUGCGCAAGAGGGGACUGCUGCCCAGAGCGGGGCGGUGAGGUCAAGGGUCUGACCCGUCUCUUGGCCAAGAGAAUGAGCGAAGAGGCGGGAAGAAGCGAGCUUCACUCCGCUUUCGCGCAGCAGCACCGUGGCACAUGGACAACCUCAUGAAGGCUUGCACGGGGGGAUGCGGUGUAGCUGGCAAGGAAC
rnacentral:misc_RNA from 1 species